rnacentral:rRNA from 1 species
CACAGCAAAAACAAAAUAAAUCCCAACUGGAAAAACAAACCCCUAGCAGAGAGAAGUUGAGCCACACUAUAAAUAUAGUUGAACUUAUGCUAAAACUAGUAACAAGAAACACUCUCUUUCAGCAUAACCAUGACCCAGUAAUAGAAAAACUACUGGCUAUUAACAGACCACAACAGGUACAACAACACAAGGAAAAAGCUGUUUAUCACCACUGUCAAACCAACACUGGCAUGCUACAAAGAAAGAUUAAAAACCAUACAAGGAACUCAGCAAACCCUGUCCCAACUGUUUACCAAAAACAUAGCCUUUAGCAAAACCAGUAUUAAAGGUACUGCCUGCCCAGUGAAUUUUUUAACGGCCGCGGUAUUCUAACCGUGCAAAGGUAGCGUAAUCACUUGUCUCUUAAAUAGAGACUUGUAUGAAUGGCUAAAUGAGGACAGACCUGUCUCCUAUGGCCAAUCAGUGAAACUGAUCUCUCAGUCCAAAAGCUGAAAUAACCACAUAAGACGAGAAGACCCUGUGGAGCUUUAAACCAACUGCUAAUAAAUUAUACUAGUAGAAGGCUUUAAGUUGGGGCGACUUCGGAACAAAACAAAACUUCCGAGCACAGAACCACACUAUUCUUAUUAAGGCCAACAAGCCAAGACACACAAACGACCCAGUCAAACUGAUCUUCGAACCAAGUUACCCCAGGGAUAACAGCGCAAUCUUCUUCAAGAGUUCAUAUCGACAAGAAGGCUUACGACCUCGAUGUUGGAUCAGGACACCCAAAUGGUGUAGCCGCUAUUAAAGGUUCGUUUGUUCAACGAUUAACAGU